rnacentral:rRNA from 1 species
UGUGCAGCAGUCGCGAAAACUUUGCAAUAAGCGAAAGCUUGACAGGGCUAUCCCGAGUGCCAUCCGCUGAGGAAGGCUUUUACCCAGUCUAGAAAGCUGGGGGAAUAAGGAGAGGGCAAGUCUGGUGUCAGCCGCCGCGGUAAUACCAGCUCUCCGAGUGGUGUGGAUGUUUAUUGGGCCUAAAGCAUCCGUAGCUGGCUGAGUUAGUCCCCUGUUAAAUCCACCGAAUUAAUCGUUGGAUUGCGGGGGAUACUGCUUGGCUAGGGGACGGGAGAGGCAGACGGUAUUUCCGGGGUAGGGGUGAAAUCCUAUAAUCCCGGGAAGACCACCAGUGGCGAAGGCUGUCUGCUAGAACGCGCCCGACGGUGAGGGAUGAAAGCUGGGGGAGCGAACCGGAUUAGAUACCCGGGUAGUCC